rnacentral:lncRNA from 1 species
UUUUGUUUAUGAUAGGUAAAAGGAAAAAGAUCUUUUACUGACUUUUAGUGUUUUUGUUUAUGAUAGGUAAAAGGAAAAAGAUCCAAGGAAAAAGAGUUGAUAUACCAGAAGCGAUCGACGAUAACCGGCCAUUUUCGGUCGACAGGGCAUCACGAGUAUCGAUCGAUCGCCGCUCACCAUCAGUGAUCAGGUAUAACGUUUCACCUUGUUAAAUAUUGUCCUCAUGGUUUAUUUCCCUACCAUCUUAGAAUCUAUAACACUGGUCAAAGCGUUGUUAAAGUGUGGGGGAGGUUCUACUAAUAUUUUGUGUUAUAGUUAGCUAUUUAAAAAAAAAAAUCCGAGUAGACGAUUCCUUAGCAUAUCGACCGAUGAGACCAGUUCGAUAUCAAUCGACAGCAGUUCAGAUCCAACAAUCGAUUGUCUCUUCAUUGUGUCGAAUUAUUGCUCUAGCCAUCGACUGAUGAGACCAUGUCGCUAUCAGUCGACAACACUUAAUCAACAACGAUCGAUUGUCACUUCAUUGUGUCGAUCGACACUGAGCAGGUCAUCGUUCUUACUUGAUAAAUUAUGUACUUAUGAUUAUUUUUCACCAUAACUCCGACUAGAUAUAUACUAGGGACAGUGUACUUUAAGUCUGGGGGGAUGUUUACUAAUAUUAGUGUGUUCAUGAGUCUUAUAAAAAUGUCUUCAGAAGAGUUUUGUUGAGUCAAGAAGGGGAUAAUGAACUUAUUUGAUUUUUGCAUAUUAUCUAACCACUCUUUAGCAGCAUUCUAGAUUUACUAAUUGCAGAUAGUACUAAAGAUACUAAAGUGGAUCAAUCUGUCAACUAUUCACACUUCCUGAGAUUGUUUGAAGGAAUCAGAGCUGACCUCCAACACUAAACCUGAC